rnacentral:lncRNA from 11 species
AGGAAAUCCUGGAAUCAGGCUGAUGUCCGAUGGAGAUUGCACAACCUACAGAUGCACAAUCCCAGCCUAGACCAUCAGAGCUUCAAUCAAUUUGUUUAUGCCCUGGAGUUUGUGAUCAAUGCAAUUGAUGUAUUUGCGCUUGCCAUUUCCAGCUGUGAGAAACUCAAUCUUGCUCCUCUUUGAUAUCUUCUAAAACUUUUGUUUAAAAAAUCCAAAAAAAGAAAUAGAUACCUGCGGAACUUCUAAAGUGAAGAGUAAGUCUCUCCCCUGAUGCAGUGCAACAUGGAUGUGUAUAGGCUCUGCUCUAGGAUAGGAAAAACUGUGUGCCAUGAGAGAAUUCAUAACAUGCUGCUUGGAAAUAAUUAAAAACUACUGUGAAC